AGUGAACGCUGGCGGUAGGCCUAACACAUGCAAGUCGAACGGCAGCACAGUAAGAGCUUGCUCUUACGGGUGGCGAGUGGCGGACGGGUGAGGAAUACAUCGGAAUCUACUUUUUCGUGGGGGAUAACGUAGGGAAACUUACGCUAAUACCGCAUACGACCUACGGGUGAAAGCAGGGGAUCUUCGGACCUUGCGCGAUUGAAUGAGCCGAUGUCGGAUUAGCUAGUUGGCGGGGUAAAGGCCCACCAAGGCGACGAUCCGUAGCUGGUCUGAGAGGAUGAUCUGCCACACUGGAACUGAGACACAGUCCAGACUCCUACGGGAGGCAGCAGUGGGGAAUAUUGGACAAUGGGCGCAAGCCUGAUCCAGCCAUACCGCGUGGGUGAAGAAGGCCUUCGGGUUGUAAAGCCCUUUUGUUGGGAAAGAAAAGCAGCAGGUUAAUACCCCGCUGUUCUGACGGUACCCAAAGAAUAAGCACCGGCUAACUUCGUG
rnacentral:rRNA from 1 species